AUGGCAGAGGCUGCUCUUGUGCUUGUCAUAAAAAAGAUUGGCAUAGCUAUGGCAGUAGAGACACUGAAGUACGCUAGACCAUUGCUUGCAAGGAAAACUGGGCCCGUGGCAGCACUCCCGGAUAACAUGAGACUGAUAAAGAAUGAUCUUGAGCUUAUGCAAGCAUUUCUCAAGGAUAUUGUCACGAAGGGUCGGAUAGAUCAAGUCACCGAGACAUGGACAGGGUAAGUCUGAAGAUUGGCAUAUGAUAUGGAAGACAUUGUGGAUCAAUUUAUUUAUGUUGUUAGUAAACACCAUCAGGAAGGAUCAUGGUGGGUUUAUGUGAACAAAAUCAUAAAGAAACCCGAUCUGUUUACACUAGAUGAAAUUGCUAUGGCACUUAAGAGAAUAAAUCUAGAGCUUACACAGCUUAAACAAAAUAAUUAUGACAGCCAACAGCAAUUGUAUCUUCCUGGACAUGGUUACUCAAUCUCUGAUGAUGAACUUGUAGGACUUGGUAAAAAUAGAGAAACCUUGAUGAAGUCACUGAGUUUGGCAGAAUGUUCUCAUCUGCAGAUCACUGCUGUGUGGGGUAUGGGUGGCAUUGGGAAAAGCACUCUAGUCAACAAUGUGUUUAGAAACGAAGCAUCCAAUUUUGAGUGUCAUGCAUGGGUUUCCGUCUCUCAGUCAUAUAAACUAGAUGAUAUUUGGAGAACUAUGUUAAAAGAUAUCUAUUCUGAAGACAAGUUUGAUAUUGCAAAGAUGAGCAGUGCAGAGCUACAAGUGCAAUUGAAGAAAAUCUUAGAGACAAAGCGAUACUUGAUCAUAUUGGAUGAUGUAUGGACUGCUGAAGAUCUCUUUAAAAUUAAAGAGGUCCUUGUUGAUAAGGACAUGGGAAGCAGAGUAAUAGUCACAACAAGAACUGAGGAAGUAGCUUCAAUAGCUGAUGAUAGCUACAAGAUCAAAGUUGAGCCUCUUGAGGAGGAGGAUGCAUGGGGCCUAUUUUGCAGGAAGGCAUUUCCCAAAAUUGAAAAUCACAUCUGCCCAAAAGCAUUACAAGAGUGUGGUAAAUCGAUAGUGGAGAAGUGUGAUGGUUUACCAUUAGCUCUUGUGUCCAUAGGGAGUAGAUUAUCUCUUAAAUCGCUGAAUGUUACAGAGUGGAGGCUAUUUCUGGAUCAGCUUAUCUGGGAGCUACACAAUAAUGAGAACCUAAAUCGCAUGAAGAAAAUUCUGAAUCUGAGCUACAAAUACUUGCCCGACUAUUUGAAAAGUUGUUUCUUGUAUUGUGCCAUGUUUCCAGAAGACCACAUGAUCCACAGAAAAAAAUUGAUUAGAUUGUGGGUCGCUGAAGGAUUUAUUGAA
rnacentral:rRNA from 1 species